rnacentral:tRNA from 1 species
AAGAUACUAGUAAAGCCCAUUACACUGCCUUGUCAAGGCAGAAUUGCAGGUUAGACCCCUGCGUGUCUUA